AAGACCUUGCGCUUUUGGAGCGGCCGAUGCCUGAUUAGCUUGUUGGUAAGGUAAAAGCUUACCAAGGCUUCGAUCAGUAGCUGGUCUGAGAGGACGACCAGCCACACUGGGACUGAGACACGGCCCAGACUCCUACGGGAGGCAGCAGUGGGGAAUUUUGGACAAUGGGGGCAACCCUGAUCCAGCCAUGCCGCGUGAGUGAAGAAGGCCUUCGGGUUGUAAAGCUCUUUCAGCCGGAACGAAACGGUUACGGAUAACACCCGUGACUACUGACGGUACCGGAAGAAGAAGCACCGGCCAACUACGUGCCAGCAGCCGCGGUAAUACGUAGGGUGCGAGCGUUAAUCGGAAUUACUGGGCGUAAAGCGUGCGCAGGUGGUUUUGUAAGUCAGAUGUGAAAGCCCCGGGCUCAACCUGGGAACU
rnacentral:rRNA from 1 species